AUUGAACGCUGGCGGCAGGCCUAACACAUGCAAGUCGAACGGUAACAGGAAACAGCUUGCUGUUUCGCUGACGAGUGGCGGACGGGUGAGUAAUGUCUGGGAAACUGCCUGAUGGAGGGGGAUAACUACUGGAAACGGUAGCUAAUACCGCAUAACGUCGCAAGACCAAAGAGGGGGACCUUCGGGCCUCUUGCCAUCGGAUGUGCCCAGAUGGGAUUAGCUAGUAGGUGGGGUAACGGCUCACCUAGGCGACGAUCCCUAGCUGGUCUGAGAGGAUGACCAGCCACACUGGAACUGAGACACGGUCCAGACUCCUACGGGAGGCAGCAGUGGGGAAUAUUGCACAAUGGGCGCAAGCCUGAUGCAGCCAUGCCGCGUGUAUGAAGAAGGCCUUCGGGUUGUAAAGUACUUUCAGCGGGGAGGAAGGGAGUAAAGUUAAGACCUUUGCUCAUUGACGUUACCCGCAGAAGAAGCACCGGCUAACUCCGUG
rnacentral:rRNA from 1 species